AAUAACUAAGAUUAAUGAUAUUAAAUAGUAAUUUGAGCUCAAUUCGAAUUACAAAAUGUUUUGUCUGCUAUAUUUGGACUGUUGCCAUUGAAUUUCAAAACUAUGUAAAGUACUAUUAUACCUUAAAAGAAUAGUAUUAUACCCUAGUAGAGUAAGAUACAUGGCAGGCUGUUGAGUGGCAUAUGGUUAACCCUUCUUAGAUCCCUUGUUGGAUUAGCUUGUGGACGAUCCAUAACUCACUUCUUUUGAUGUACCCUCGUAUGACCACUAAAGUUUAACCAUUUCUACAAUCUUUAAACUAGGUGUCAGAGCAAGAUAACCUAUGACACAAGUGGGAUCACGCAACACAUACCAUGGUGACAACUAACUUGUAAUGACAAUGUUCAUUAGGCACUUGACCACAGACACCUGGCUUGCCUGCACAAUCAUGCAGGCCAUUGUAUGGAUCACCACGUGGCACUACGAUAUAGGGAGCAAUCCAUUAAUAAGAUUAAAGAAAAAAAAGCCUUUAAUUACCUUGAUUAAAACUUAUGACUUCGACUGAUGAAAAAUCGACGAACAAAAAAAAAGGACAGUGGAAAAAAAUAGAUAAUUUCAAAAACAAAGAAAC
rnacentral:lncRNA from 1 species